rnacentral:rRNA from 1 species
UACGAAGGGGGCUAGCGUUGCUCGGAAUCACUGGGCGUAAAGCGCACGUAGGCGGCUUUUUAAGUCAGGGGUGAAAUCCUGGAGCUCAACUCCAGAACUGCCUUUGAUACUGAGAAGCUUGAGUCCGGGAGAGGUGAGUGGAACUGCGAGUGUAGAGGUGAAAUUCGUAGAUAUCGGGAGGAACACCGGUGGCGAAGGCGGCGAUCUGGGUAGAUACUGACGCUGAGGAGCGAAAGCGUGGGGAGCGAACAGG